UGUGUGUUUAGUUUUCAAAUAAUACCUGCAUAAUCUGGCACGUUAUUUGCAAAUAUUGAGUGCAGUUUGCUCAAAUGAUUGCAAGUGAAGUGUGCAUGCCCUUAUGGAACUUUUAAUCAUGUCCUGGUACAGAUUCAAUGGUACUGAAUUUGAACAUGCAUCUAAUUCUUCAUAUGUACAGAAAAAAAUUGAGAAAGUACCUGUCAAAAUGACUCAGAAUUUGAGAAUGGCUUAUUUUAUU